AUGGGGGCCAAGAGGGCGGGAGGAAGUCGGGAGACAGUAGAGGUCGGGGUCAGCAAAGGAUCGGGUGGGUGUUCUCCACAGGCCCAAUGCCCUACCGCUCGACAGCCACUGGCGGCCCCCGCCCGGCCUCAUGCCUCGCCCGAGUCACGGCAGAUGCUACCCACCUCCUCUCCUCCAUCCUGCUCUGGCACCUGGUUCUACUCUCUCUCUCAGGUGGCCAAGCUGGGGGCUCUGUGUGAUAAGCCCAAGGGGACACUGCCUUCUCCCUCCCUCCCUCCCACCCCAGAAAAGCAAGAACCUACAGGCCACUUCCGCCUCUGGCUGUGCCCCGACAGCGCUGCUGGAUUCCGACAGAGCUGCGGGCCAGUCUGGGCGUCACCUGCUCCCACGCCCUUGGCGCCCUGGGGAUGCUUGGACCAGUCUUGCAGGAGGCUGACUGCAGGGGGCUCCUCCAGUCGCACGCGGAUGACCUGGAGAUCCAGCGCCCGCCAAGCCCUGGAGGGGAGCUGGGGAGGGGCUUUCCGGCUGGAGACGACCUCCUUCGGCCCCUUUCCUCUUUGGGCAAGUCUCUGCGGUUUGAGGCCCUGA
rnacentral:lncRNA from 1 species